rnacentral:lncRNA from 1 species
CCAUUCUCUCUUUAAUUAUUAUUUAUUAUUUUUUUUUAAAUAUUUUCAAUCCUUAUUUAUUUAAUUAUUUACUAUUAUCUAUUGAUUGCAUGAAUUUGAAAUUGACAAGGAUUGCUAAACAUAGACCAUUGACUAACCUCGAUUUAAUCGUUGAGAUUAAAUGAAAGAAAAACAAAUUGUAACCAACUUUAAAAAUAUCUAAAAUGCCCCUUCUAGAUGAUUUAAUUGAUUUAAAC